UGGGGAAUAUUGGACAAUGGGCGAAAGCCUGAUCCAGCCAUGCCGCGUGUGUGAAGAAGGUCUUCGGAUUGUAAAGCACUUUAAGUUGGGAGGAAGGGCAGUAAGCGAAUACCUUGCUGUUUUGACGUUACCGACAGAAUAAGCACCUGCUAACUCUGUGCCAGCAGCCGCGGUAAUACAGAGGGUGCAAGCGUUAAUCGGAAUUACUGGGCGUAAAGCGCGCGUAGGCGGUUCGUUAAGUUGAAUGUGAAAGCCCCGGGCUCAACCUCGUAACUGCAUCCAAAACUGGCGAGCUAGAGUAGGGCAGAGGUUGGUGGAAUUGCCUGUGUAGCGGUGAAAUGCGUAGAUAUAGGAAGGAACACCAGUGGCGAAGGCGACCACCUGGGCUCAUACUGACACUGAGGUGCGAAAGCGUGGGGAGCAAACAGG
rnacentral:rRNA from 1 species